CAGGGAAGGAACAAGACAAUGGCUGCACGACGGAAUUUGCUCCUGACACUGCUGUGUCUCAGCCUAACGGCCGUACCGGGAUCAGAGUCAAGUUCAACAAGCGUCGCAACGAGUACAACCGAGUCAACCACAGUUACAUCAAGCUCUCCGACCAAAGCAACGCCAACCGACUCAACAACAGAUACAGCCAUCGACCGGGCAUCAACAAGCGAGUCAACUACUUCUUCCACCGGAACCACACCUACAACAUCUACAGAGGGUGCCUCGAGAGAAUCUUCUUCAACUGAAGUCAUACCAUUGAGUACAGGGAACGCUAUUACCGGCCGGGCAAUGACAACCGAGGUAACCAAGGUUAUAAACACCGCAACCGCCACAACCACAGUUACAUCAAGCUCUCCGACCACAGCAACGCCAACCGACUCAACAACAGAUACAGCCAUCGACCGGGCAUCAACAAGCGAGUCAACUACUUCUUCCACCGGAACCACACCUACAACAUCUACAGAGGGUGCCUCGACAGAAUCUACUUCACCUGAAGUCAUAACAUUUAGUACAGUUACAUCAACCCUUAUGACCACGGAGACGCCAACCGACACAACAAGUAUGUCAACAGCUUCUGCCACCGGAACCACACCUACAACAUCUACAGAGGGUGCCUCGACAGAAUCUACUUCACCUGAAGUCAUAACAUUGAGUACAGGUAAGAUAGUGCUCAAUACAAGUAGGUAACAUUACUUCCUUGUUACACUGUACGUUUCGAUGUCCAAGCUGAAAUAAUACGUUAACAUCUGCACGCAUAAGAAUGCGGUGUUGUACCAACAAGAAGCAAAUUAAAGCGAUACUAUUAAUGCCUGCUGUACGAUAUUAUAUAGGUUAAUCAAAACAAAUUACUGCGUAUAUACAACAUUCAACAGAAUGUUGAUUCUUGGGUAACCGAAGAUUAUGUUUGUCGCUCAUUUAAAUGUCUGUUAAAGAUUUUCCCACAUGCGUUGACUCCUCUAGCAUGGUUGUAUAUAUUUGUAUGCAAGGCAGUAUUGUGUUACUGUGUGGCUGGAAUGUGAGAGGUGCUGGGUAUGACUAAUGUGUAAUACGGAACAGAGAAUGAGAUGUCUGACCGGUGUUCGAGCAUGUUAACAAGUAAUAACAAUUCCAUGCUCCACCUAGUUAAAGGUGAGUGUAUCAGUAGCAGGUCUGAAGCUUCCAUCAGUGACGGCUGUCACCGGUAAGUUCAUGGGUAAUUACCACAUGAUACAUCAAUAAAGUACCAUAUGAUAUACCAAUACACAGCUGCCAUGUGUACUAAUAACGCGUUCGUAAUCAAUUUAUAAUGACGUUAUCUACACACACACACCACACACACACCCGUCAAAAGGAAACGUCAAACUGCCCUUUAAGACGGGAUCGAGGAAUAUUCGGAUAUUCACAUAAAGUAUGUGUAUAUUUUGUAUCAUUUUGUGUGUGCUAUGGAGAGAUAAAAAUGUCCCCAUGUACAGUGGAUUAUCAAUGAAUAUAUUUUGUAUAUUGUCUGUGAUAACGCAAUACCGUACACACACGCUUAACUGUUUGACUUGUGUAUAAUAUUUAUAGAACAUUCAUUUAGCCUGAUGUCUUCACUGUUAACGGUCUGGUUCAACGGGGUUUUACAGAAGAUGGUAUGUCUCCUGGGAUUUCUUGUAUGUCCCUCGCUCGUUCUAAUGUGCACCUUCUCCUCUUCACAGAUGAGUGUGUUCAACACGUCCUUUGUCCUCAGCCAGUGUACGAAGCAUUAUGUUAGAUAAGUAAAACAAAUAAACAUGUUCAAAUACAGACAAGGAGCUGGCUAGCUAUUCCCGAAACGUUCGUAGUCCUUCGAACUUCUUAAGCCCAUUCUUAACACAUUGGCUACGAUCAAAAUUAUAAAUUCAUAGGCCUACGAACGUUUCGAGAAUAGGGGCUCUGGUAAUCAGCGUGUUUUUACUUUUUGCAUGUCUCAUCCUCCGACCUACUGUAAUUUGGCCGCCAACUCGAACUGUGACUGCUGCUUCAAUGGCUUCCUUCCUAUUAAGACGAUGAAGACUAGGUCGAAGACACGUGAACAUCCACAAGGCUGACCGCCGACUCGAACUCAGAACCUAUCGACUACUGCUUCAAUGGCUUCCUUCCUAUUAAGACGAUGAAGACUAGGUCGAAGACACGUGAACAUCCACAAGGCUGACCGCCGACUCGAACUCAGAACCUAUCGACUACUGCUUCAAUGGCUUCCUUCCUAUUAAGACGAUGAAGACUAGGUCGAAGACACGUGAACAUCCACAAGGCUGACCGCCGACUCGAACUCAGAACCUAUCGACUACUGUUUCAAUUGCUUCCUUCCCGUGUCAGUUCUGGGAUGAAGACUAGGUCGGGGACAAGUAACCAUUUCACAGCAAGGCUGAGCGCAAGGAACUGUACUGGGACAUUCAAACCCCAGAUCACAUCAUAGCGAUCACGUUAAGGUUUUACCUUAACGUACACGAAUGUGGCACCCCUGACAAAUGGCGCCUUCUUGGUAUCAGAAAAAUGGCAAAGGAUUACAAAGCAGAAAGUCGUUCUCAGCUUCCGUAUUGAUAGAGACGAGAUCAGCACCAAGCUCACGGCAUCUACUUCUUGCAGUACCCCAACUGGUUUUGUCCAGCUCCAGAGCGCAUAUCUAGCUGCCUUGGAAUACACACAUCUAUGGUACUGCCUGAAGUGUCUGGCAUGAUCACCUGUUUCCAGAAAACAUCGACUGGACAAUGAUUCACAGCGAUUCAUUAGACGCCAUCAUGGAAAAGAUGUGGGACCUGACAUAAUCAGAGUAGCCUCCCUUUGUCAAACCGGUACACGCAAUCUGGCGCCCGUGUGAUGCUGUCGUUGAUGUCACACAUUCCAACGUGUACUUUGUUUUUUCUGGAUCUUUGGCGUGUUUUCCAAGAAAUCCUAGGUUGGAAUCAGAUUGACCAUACAUCAGCAGCGUUAUAUGUUUAUGUAUACAGUGAUUGAAAGGAACCACAAGAUUCAGAGUACAAAUAGAUGUGUCAAGUAAGGCGUCAGUGCAGGACGAAUGUAUAGGACAUUUUGACACAUGUGGUGCCACUUGGCAAGUGACUAAAUAUGCUUCUGUUGUUGCUGCAGUAAAUUGGCAACCAGAAGGAGAUUGUAAUGACAUGUUAACCGUCGUGCGCAUUACAGGCACUGUGUGUGGUAUGGUCCCCGGGGAGUUGAGAAUAUAAUUCGAGGAGGAAACGCAGUGAAAAUGGUACAUAUAACCAGAAUCUAACAUGUCCAGUGUUUGAGUUGAUUGUGAUCCGAAUUCUAGAAGCUGGUCGUUAACUCGUGUGACACCGCUAAUAAAUACGCGCGAAAUGUUUAGUUCUGUGACUUCUAAAUCUUGAAAUGCAAUCUGUUCGUCAUAUCUUAGGCACGACAGGUGCUUAGAGAAUCCUGGAGUUCUCAUAUAUCAUAUGUUUUACCCUUGAAUGCCCACGAGGUAGUAACAACUGCACGUUGUACACCUUUGUGCUAUACCCACGAGCACGCAAUGUUGUUAUAUCUCCUGCUGCGUGUCUAUUCUGUGACAUGAAUAUAAUAGUAUUCUACAGAAGUCGUACGGGACAUGUUCAGUUAUAUCUCCGAAUCAUCGGACUGCCUCUCGGUCUUGUGAGCAAAUCGUCUUUCCGGGUCGUGGAAGGUGGCGAGUUUGCGGACCGAUGCCUCGCGUGUAUGCAACAAGGAUUAGGCGAUUGGAAUCAGCGAGUCUGUGCGGAGUGAACCUGGUAAACUGGGGCAUGGCAUCUGUGUGGGUUAAAACUAAAUGUUUGUGUAGGUCUGGAGAAGAAAUGUUGCCACACACACAGGUUCAUUUGAAACUUGCACAUUCAUAAAAGUAGUCCGUGAGGUGUAUUACCGCUGGUAGGACCAUUGGUUCAUGUUUGUAGGACAUAAUUCAGAAAAGACAACCCCAGAUGUUACAGUGAAGCUAUAAAUCCCUUGUCGAACACAGUGAUGUUUUUGUUACUGCAUUUAAUUCAAACGUCAAACUGGCGAUUAAAUGUCCGAAUUUUGUCCCAUUUUAUGUAUUCUGUCGAAAUAGUUUGUGUAAUAGCGUUGUUUUUAUCUCCAAGUGUCUCCUUGUAACGUUUUGUGUUCAAUAAUUGUAGUUUUCCAAUGA
rnacentral:misc_RNA from 1 species